rnacentral:rRNA from 1 species
AGCAGCCGCGGUAAUUCCAGCUCCAAUAGCGUAUAUUAAAGUUGUUGCAGUUAAAAAGCUCGUAGUUGAAUUUCGGGACUAAUAUGUCGGUCGUACUUUGUACGUACUAGCAUUAUUGGUUUCUCCCUUCUGACGAACCACGAUGUCAUUAAUUUGGUGUCAUGGGAAAUCAGGACUGUUACUUUGAAAAAAUUAGAGUGUUUAAAGCAAGCUCGCGCUUGAAUACAUUAGCAUGGAAUAAUGAAAUAGGACGUUUGAUUCUAUUUUGUUGGUUUCUAGGAUCGACGUAAUGAUUAAUAGGGAUAGUUGGGGGCAUUAGUAUUCAAUUGUCAGAGGUGAAAUUCUUGGAUUUAUUGAAGACUAACUACUGCGAAAGCAUUUGCCAAGGAUGUUUUCAUUAAUCAAGAACGAAAGUUAGGGGAUCGAAGACGAUCAGAUACCGUCGUAGUCUUAACCAUAAACUAUGCCGACUAGGGAUCGGAUGAUGUUAAUUUUUAAUGUACUCAUUCGGCGCCUUACG